rnacentral:rRNA from 1 species
GACGAACGCUGGCGGCGUGCCUAAUACAUGCAAGUCGAGCGAGCGAAACUAACAGAUUUACUUCGGUAAUGACGUUAGGAAAGCGAGCGGCGGAUGGGUGAGUAACACGUGGGGAACCUGCCCCAUAGUCUGGGAUACCACUUGGAAACAGGUGCUAAUACCGGAUAAGAAAGCAGAUCGCAUGAUCAGCUUUUAAAAGGCGGCGUAAGCUGUCGCUAUGGGAUGGCCCCGCGGUGCAUUAGCUAGUUGGUAAGGUAAAGGCUUACCAAGGCGAUGAUGCAUAGCCGAGUUGAGAGACUGAUCGGCCACAUUGGGACUGAGACACGGCCCAAACUCCUACGGGAGGCAGCAGUAGGGAAUCUUCCACAAAGGACGCAAGUCUGAUGGAGCAACGCCGCGUGAGUGAAGAAGGUUUUCGGAUCGUAAAGCUCUGUUGUUGGUGAAGAAGGAUAGAGGUAGUAACUGGCCUUUAUUUGACGGUAAUCAACCAGAAAGUCACGGCUAACUACGUG